AGCGAACGCUGGCGGCGUGCUUAACACAUGCAAGUCGAGUGCGUAGCCCUUUGUAGCAAUACAGAGGGUGGGCGCACGGCGCACGGGUGAGUAACACGUGGGUAACCUGCCCCUUGGUGGGAAUAACCCGCGAAGACGGGCGUAAUUACGCAUAACAAUUCGGGACGACAUGUUCUCGGACUCAAAGGAAGUGAUUCGCCGGAGGA
rnacentral:rRNA from 1 species